CAUUUUUUAUAAGUCGUGCAUACUAAAAAAUAUGGCAAGGUUAAAUUCUUGUUGACAGAAACAUGUUGAUGCUUAAUAACAAAUCAUUUCAGGUUCAGAAGACUUAAAUGAAUGCUUGCAACUGAUGGACGCCAUUGCUUUCUGAAAUAUUUUGAAACUUCAAAUGAAGGUGAAUAGGAAGAAGAUGAUGAAGCAUCUCUCAAAGGGAAGCAUCAAGGUUGCCUAAGGAAAAGCUGGAGUCAUCAUCAAAAAAUGACAUCCUGGAGACAUCUGGGAAAGAAAAAAGAAGCAAGGAAUGUGCACGUAGUGCAAAAGCCCUCCACAUUACCCGAAGAAUUGCCAUGUCUACAUUUGAAGUGGACCGUCUACGGAUAGAAUGGUUCAGCUUCGAACUUCGCACAGCAAGAUGGCCUGCAAUGUGAGGCCAUGCUUCAUGCAGCAACACAAAUGGGCACCCGAAAUAAAUAUUUGACUACCUGAGCCAAAACUGUGCAUGCAAAGUUUAUUAAAUGCCUCCCACAGCUGCGUUUGAAAUAUGUCUUCUGUGGGAACUCUCUUCAAGUGGAAAAUGCUAAGUGGACUUUUGUCGUUGAUGGCCUGGUACGACAACAGGAUUGGAAUGCAUACAUGGGGCUUUGAUGGACAUAAUGAAAACGGUGUUGGUAGCAAUCU
rnacentral:lncRNA from 1 species